AUACGGAGGGGGCUAGCGUUGUUCGGAAUUACUGGGCGUAAAGCGCGCGUAGGCGGACCAUCAAGUUAGGCGUGAAAGCCCCGGGCUCAACCCGGGAACUGCGUUUAAGACUGGUGACCUAGAGUCCGGGAGAGGGUGGUGGAAUUCCCAGUGUAGAGGUGAAAUUCGUAGAUAUUGGGAAGAACACCAGUGGCGAAGGCGGCCACCUGGACCGGUACUGACGCUAAGGCGCGAAAGCGUGGGGAGCAAACAGGAUUAGAAACCCCAGUAGUCC
rnacentral:rRNA from 1 species